rnacentral:rRNA from 1 species
CCCUUAGAUGUUCUGGGCUGCACGCGCGCGACAAUGACGUUUGCAACGAGAUUGCGAGGCCGUCAGGUCGAGCUGAUCUUGCAAGCUGCGUCGUGAUAGGGACAGUCGAUUGCAAUUAUUCGACUCGAACGAGGAAUUCCUUGUAAUCGCGCAUCAUCAGUGCGCGCUGAAUACGUCCCUGCCCUUUGUACACACCGCCCGUCGCUCCUACCGAUUGAGUGGUCCGGUGAAUUAUUCGGACCGGUGGACUGUGGGGAAACCCGCGGCCUGCUGGGAAGUCUUGUGAACCUUAUCACUUAGAGGAAGCAGAAGUCGUAACA